rnacentral:rRNA from 1 species
UACGGGGGGGGCAAGCGUUGUUCGGAAUUACUGGGCGUAAAGGGCUCGUAGGCGGCCAACUAAGUCAGACGUGAAAUCCCUCGGCUUAACCGGGGAACUGCGUCUGAUACUGGAUGGCUUGAGUUUGGGAGAGGGAUGCGGAAUUCCAGGUGUAGCGGUGAAAUGCGUAGAUAUUCGGAGGAACACCAGAAGCGAAGGCGGCCAACUGGCCCGAUACUGACGCUGAGGCGCGAAAGCGUGGGGAGCAAACAGG